rnacentral:rRNA from 1 species
UGACGUCAAUCAUCAUGCCCUAUGACCUGGGCUACACACGUGCUACAAUGGUUGGUACAACGAGUUGCGAGUCGGUGACGGCGAGCUAAUACUCUUAAAGCCAAUCUCAGUUCGGAUUGUAGGCUGCAACUCGCCUACAUGAAGUCGGAAUCGCUAGUAAUCGCGGAUCAGCACGCCGCGGUCGAAUACGUUCCCGGGCCUU